GACGAACGCUGGCGGCGUGCCUAAUACAUGCAAGUAGAACGCACAGUUUAUACCGUAGCUUGCUACACCAUAAACUGUGAGUUGCGAACGGGUGAGUAACGCGUAGGUAACCUGCCUGGUAGCGGGGGAUAACUUUUGGAAACGAUAGCUAAUACCGCAUAAUAUUGAUUAUUGCAUGAUAAUUGAUUGAAAGAUGCUAUUGCAUCACUACCAGAUGGACCUGCGUUGUAUUAGCUAGUAGGUGAGGUAACGGCUCUCCUAGGCGACGAUACAUAGCCGACCUGAGAGGGUGAUAGGCCACACUGGGACUGAGACACGGACCAGACUCCUACGGGAGGCAGCAGUAGGGAAUCGUCGGCAAUAGACGAAAGUCUGACCGAGCAACGCCGCGUGAGUGAAGAAGGUUUUCGGAUCGUAAAGCUCUGUUGUAAGAGAAGAACGGGUGUGAGAGUGGAAAGUUCACACUGUGACGGUAUCUUACCAGAAAGGGACGGCUAACUACGUG
rnacentral:rRNA from 1 species